rnacentral:tRNA from 1 species
GCGGGCAUAGUUUAGUGGUAGAGCCUCAGCCUUCCAAGCUGAUGAUGCGGGUUCGAUUCCCGCUGCCCGCUCCA